AUGAAUUGUUUAAGAUGCAUUCAAAUCUUUAAAUUUUACCAGACUGCUACUAGUUUUCGGUGUAUGAUAAAUGACUGUGUGAAUGAUGCACGGAAGAUUUUCUUUGGUAAAGGGACCAAAGUCAUAGUGCAAUCAAAAAAAGAAGAACCGCCUGUCUAUUACAAAUUCGAUGAGUCAUGUUUGGCAACCGACUUCACAAAAUAUGAUGCUGUAAAAUUCCAAAACGUUACACCAGUGCGAUAUGCAGAACGAAGUUAUUACAGCAGCUACGCCUUUAAUGUUUCAGACUGCCCGCAGAAAGGUAGGAAUUAUCAGUUACCAUAAAAAAAGCAUUUCCAGAUUAAUUCUUCAAAUAAUUAUACUAUAUUAUAUUAUAUUAAUCAUAUUUAUUCCACUUUCAGACUGUCAGCAAGGAUCAUCCAGUCAAAAUGAUGAUUUUGAACCAGGUAAGUGUGCUUUUAUUUGAACAUUUAUAGUCUGGUGUGCAUUUCAUUUCAUAGAUUUUAGAUUGUGAGACUACUAGCUUCAAAAAAAAAUAAAUAAAUAAACAUUUAAAAAGUACAUGAAAGUGCUGGAUUAUACCAAAAUCCAUGGUAAAACCAACAGACAUACUAAUUGCAUUUUUAUUCUGCAGAUGAAAAAACCAACUACAUGUCACUGGGUCUCUAUUGGCUGAGAAUUCUCUUUCUGAAGACUGUUGUGUUCAAUGUCCUGAUGACUUUCAAAGCAUGGAUGAGCUAACGUGAGUGAAAUGUUAUAUCUUGUGACAAUGGGUCUCAUUCACUAACUGCGUGUUAACACAUUUGUGUGUAAAAACGUCUCGGUUACGUAUGGUAACCCUCGUUCCCUGAAGGAGGGAACGGAGACGCCACGUCGGUGACCGCGAAAAUGGGAUAUCGCUUCGAUAGACCAAUCUACUUCGAGUGUAAACUAAACGAGCCAAUGCACAUUGGCAUGCAAUUAUUGCAUCCAGCUGCCGCUGAUCACAGCGUGAGUAUAAUAAGGCAGCAGGUGCAAUGCAUACCAGGUUUUCGCUGAGGAGCCGAGCCGGAGACCCGGCGGCUCAGCGGUGGUACAGCAACCAUGGCGACGGGACGUGGAGUGUAAACUAAACGAGCCAAUGCACAUUGGCAUGCAAUUAUUGCAUCCAGCUGCCGCUGAUCACAGCGUGAGUAUAAUAAGGCAGCAGGUGCAAUGCAUACCAGGUUUUCGCUGAGGAGCCGAGCCGGAGACCCGGCGGCUCAGCGGUGGUACAGCAACCAUGGCGACGGGACGUGGCGUCUCCGUUCCCUCCUUCAGGGAACGAGGGUUACCAUACGUAACCGAGACGUUCCCUUUCAGUCGGUCACUCUCGACGCCACGUCGGUGACCAACGAAAAUGGGAUCCCUACCAAAGCGCCAUGGGUGCUGCCCCUUCCAGUGCCCUGUGCGAGCCGCCUGUGCCCCUAUUAGGUGUAGGCCGGGGCUCGGAACAAGUAGCUCCACUCACCAUUGUCAAAGCACUACCUCACUGGGUGAGACUGGAUAACACUGGGAAAACGUACCCGUUCCACUUGGAACAGGGACGCUGCGGAGGCUCCAUCCUUCCCGAAGGAGGUCUCGGGAGCAAAUACACAUAUAGCUCCGUUUAGGUGUAUAUGGAAAAAUUUGAGGUGAUUCAAACCCUCCUGGAAAGGCAGAAGUCUGCCGGGGAAACACGGGCUCUAAGGCUAUACCGUGGACUAUACACAUAUGAGUACCGUUUAAGUCUCAAUAUGGAACCCAGCCUUCCAUGGUUCUCACGGAUUCAUCAUGAAGGCCAGGCGCCGGACGUUCCGCCGUGUCCAGCUGCCUAGGGUGAUGGAGGAUCUCAUCGGGCAUCUUCGGGGGUCUUCUCGGCGAGAAGAACACCACUCGACGAACAGGUUCCACUUCAAGGCGUAAGCGUGUCUCGUAG
rnacentral:lncRNA from 1 species